rnacentral:lncRNA from 1 species
AAUUAACCCAAUCUAUUCAAGACAAAAAAUUUUAAAAAAUGAACAAAGCCUCUAAGAAAUUUGGGACUGUUAAACGUCCAAACAUAAGAAUAAUUGGUGUUCCUGAGAAGAGAAAUCUCUCCCAGCAGGGCUACUGGGCUCUGGGGUGGCACUAGGGAGUAUUUGCGAAGAGUGCUCUGAUGUGAUCUGUCUUCAGAUCUUUCAGCUGUGGAUACCAACACCUACUCUGGUGGAGGUAGCAGAGGAGUGAACUGGACUCCCUUAGGGUCCUUGGUUGUGUUUUUGUUUAAUGCACUGGUUUUGUGUUGGUUGGCCUCCAGCCAGGAGGUGGUGCUUUCAAGAGCUCAUCAGCUGUGGUACCAUAGGGAGAAUGCAAACUUGCCCUAGGGUCACCUGGUUAAGUAUUCAGAUUUCUCAGGUGUGGUGAGCAGGGCCAUAGAGCUCCCAAGAGAUGAUGACCUUUGUCUUUGGCUACCAAGGCGGGUAGAGAAAGAACUCCAGGUUGGGUGCAGGGAUGGGUAUUUCUGGGCUCAGCCUCUCCUUGAGUGGGGCUUGCUGGGGCUGCUGUCGGGGAUGGGAGUGUGGUUCCCAGGCCGACGGAAUUAUGUUCCCAGGGGCAUUAUGGCUGCCUCUGCUGAGUCAUACAGGUCCCCAUGGAAGUGAAGGAAAGCCAGCAGUCAUAGGCCUCACCCUACUCCCAUGCAGCCUGCAGUCCUAAAGGCCAGUGUUACUCCCACUGUGCCCCCACCAACAGCACCGACUCUAUUUCCAGGCCGCUGGUGACCAGGGCUGAGAAGUUGCCCCAGACCAUGAGCCUCCCCACUGAUAAAGCAAGCCGACUCAGUUUUUCAGCCUCUCAGGGAGCCUGCAGUGGUGAUCAAGUUUCUUCAAAGGGUCUGUGGAUUCUCUCAGAUUUUCUGAUAUGUUCCUGGCAUAGUCCUUGGAACAAAAGUUCAUAAUGUGGGUCCUGACGGUCAAAUGCACUUCUAUCAUGGAAGCUGUGCUGAGAACAGUGUUACUACGAUGUCAUUGUACAGUAGUACAUAAUUUGGUAGUUGGAUAAUGGUAUUUAUAUUGGGACUUGAUACAAAAGUAAGCAUUUUAGAUUUGGCUCCAAACAUCUUCUAAGGAAACCACAGACAAUACAUUUCAAGUGACACCUGUUUCUGAUUUGACCACGUCAUUUUCCACUCUCUGUAGCACAACUGAAAGCUGAAGAACGUUUUGAACUAAGUGAGUGACAAAGGCAAUUAAAAAAAGAAACUGGCACAAUUUAGAAAGGGAGAAAAAUUCUCUAAUGAGAAUAAAAUCUGGCUAAGGGGUUGUGCGUUUUGAGUGGUUAUUCCAAAUGCUUCGGUAUCUGCCCUGUUGCCUUCCUUGGUGCCUGGGGUACCUGGAGGGGGUGUGGUUUUAGUGUGGGCAUCGCCACUCCUUCAGGAAGACUCUUGGGUUGAAGAACUGGGGAAAAGUGGUAAUAUCUGGACAAAGUGCCCUCACCCCAUCCUGCCGCCUCAGUGCAAUGCUCCUGGUGCUCACAGCAUCCCAGGAGACAAAGGACUAUUCUAGACAUAUAGAUCUGAGGUCAAGUCCUACCUCUGCUCUUGAUUAUUCUAGGACAUUAAGGCUCACAUAAUCACUCUGAUAAUUAGUUUUAGAAUGGGUACAAAUUAUCUAAUGGGUGCCCAUUAGAAUGGGUGCAAAUUAUUGCCCUUGACAUAUUUAUACUGCUGAUUAAAGUGAAAUAACAGUUGCUUUGGAAAAAGGUAACAAUAUGAUUAAAUAAAUUAUUCCAGUACUUUAAAUCUGAGUAAAACUCUCUGCAUGGGGUAGGUUCUUAAGAAAUAUUUGGUGACUGAUGGCCCAAAGCGAAAGUUAUUACUCAACUUCAUGUUUCAUCUCUGGCCCACAUGACCCAGUGGGGGCCCUCAGGGAGUGUGAAUGAGUAAAUGGGUGGGGUAGGGUGGUGUGGGAUGAGGUGGCAGUGUUCACAGUAACUAGGGUGAAGCCAUUGUCCACCUUGGUUUUGCCUCCUGGGACCCAUUUUCCAUAAGCUGCAUUGCAGCAAGUCUUUUGUGAAUCCCAUAAAGAGAAAAAAAUUCAAUCUAAAUUUGAUUGCUGCUGAUAAAGCACUCUUUUGGAGCUUUUAUUUGCUAUACUUUACAAAAGGAUAUAAUUUUCCAUGACACAAAUUAAUACAGUUCAAAAGCUUAUUAAGACCCACAUAAUACUCCUAGAUUUUGUCUACAAAAUUCAAGGGUUUCUUAGAAGAUUUUUAGGAGCUAUACAAGUUCUUAUUUCUCCUUAAUAUAAGUACAUGUUGCAAUAUAAUCAACUUUACCAAAUUACAAUGCUCCUUUCACAUUUUUGUGUAAAAAGGGAACCACUGAGAUUGAUGUUUUAUUCUUUGUCAUUGCUAUAUCUUGCCCAAAACUCUGUUAUAAAACCAAUGAGCUAUAUUUUGUUUGUUUUAUUUACAUGUCUGUCUCCACUAGACUGUAAACUCUUAAAGGGGAAGACUCUAUCUUAUUUAUCUGUUUAAAUCCUGCAAUGCUAGCACAUAAUUGUUCCACAUCAAUGUAGACUCAACGAAUGAAUGAAUCAUUUAAUUGACUACCAAACUGAUCACUUUAAAAAUAAGUUUAAUAAGAGGGACAACAUAUAAAAUAAUAUCUAACACUGAAGUAAAUUUACUGAGUAACCUUCUCAUUUUUCACUUCCAUUUUAGUGGAAUUGUAAAAAAGUUUGAAGAGAUCUAUUCCCAUUAAGUUUUAAAAAUAUAUAAUAUGAACUGGCUUAGGCAUUCUUGCUCCUUCUAGUAAGACCAUACCAAAAAUGUUUCUCAGCUAUUUUCUUUGCUUGCUUCCUCUCCCAUUGCUUCUCCUGCUUGCAAAAGCAAUGUCUGAACAUAAUUCUGACCCACGGGAAUGGGUAAGAAGGGGAAGCCACUAGGAGAAUGAUUAUU